rnacentral:rRNA from 1 species
AGAGUUUGAUCAUGGCUCAGGACGAACGCUGGCGGCGUGCUUAACACAUGCAAGUCGAACGGUGAACCAGAGCUUGCUCUGGGGAUCAGUGGCGAACGGGUGAGUAACACGUGGGCAACCUGCCCAGACUCUGGGAUAACCUCGGGAAACCGAUGCUAAUACCGGAUACGACCACUUCGGACAUCCGACGGUGGUGGAAAGUUUUUCGGUCUGGGAUGGGGCCCGCGGCCUAUCAGCUAGUUGGUGGGGUAAUGGCCUACCAAGGGCGACGACGGGUAGCCGGCCUGAGAGGGCGACCGGCCACACUGGAACUGAGACACGGUCCAGACUCCUACGGGAGGCAGCAGUGGGGAAUAUUGCACAAUGGGCGAAAGCCUGAUGCAGCGACGCCGCGUGAGGGACGACGGCCUUCGGGUUGUAAACCUCUUUCAGCAGGGACGAAGCGAAAGUGACUGUACCUGCAGAAGAAGCACCGGCUAACUACGUG